GGACCUCCUAAAUUCUACCCCCAGGAAGCCCCAAACUCCACAGCCUGUGGCUUCACAAGCUUCAUCCUCAGAGCUUCCUACAGCCCAUUCACUCAUUCAUUCUUUCAUCCAAGGAAUGUUUUACUAGCUCCUGCUAUACACCAGGCAUCCAUGGGAUGGCCCACCCUCGGGAUACAUCAGGGAAGAAAACAUACAAAGACCCCUACCCUUUUGGAAGUUAUACUUGAGCAGGCAGAGACAGACAAUAAAUGCCAGAGCUCACACAUGGUGAGGAUGUCCAGACCAUUAUUCCUCGAUUGGGCCUGGAGACCCCUCUGCAGCCCCUCCCAAUCUCUCCCACUGACCUACGGACCAGAAGGCUGGAUUUUGCAAUGGAAGGGAACUUGCAGGCAGCAGACAGCUCUGCACUGUCCCUUUGAUUUUCCUCAGGCACCUCUGAGAGGGAGACACACUCUCAGCCAAGUACCCAACAAGGGACAUGAGAAGGCUUCUGCUGUGCAGCUGCCAGAGAAACAGGGGACAGAUCAAAGCAGGAGAGGACCAACAUCUGCGGUAACCAAAGCAAGGACAAGGUACAAACACAUUGAAUGAAUAAAUAAGCAGAUGAAUGACUGAUGGGUGGGGGGAAUG
ensembl:lncRNA LINC02898 long intergenic non-protein coding RNA 2898